rnacentral:rRNA from 1 species
UGGAGAGUUUGAUCCUGGCUCAGAUUGAACGCUGGCGGCAGGCCUAACACAUGCAAGUCGAGCGGCAGCGACAUCAACAAUCCUUCGGGUGCGUUGAUGGGCGGCGAGCGGCGGACGGGUGAGUAAUGCCUGGGAAUAUGCCCUGAUGUGGGGGAUAACCAUUGGAAACGAUGGCUAAUACCGCAUAAUCUCUUCGGAGCAAAGAGGGGGACCUUCGGGCCUCUCGCGUCAGGAUUAGCCCAGGUGAGAUUAGCUAGUUGGUGAGGUAAGAGCUCACCAAGGCGACGAUCUCUAGCUGGUCUGAGAGGAUGAUCAGCCACACUGGAACUGAGACACGGUCCAGACUCCUACGGGAGGCAGCAGUGGGGAAUAUUGCACAAUGGGGGAAACCCUGAUGCAGCCAUGCCGCGUGUGUGAAGAAGGCCUUCGGGUUGUAAAGCACUUUCAGUCGUGAGGAAGGCGAUAUGCGUUAAUAGCGYAURUGUUUGACGUUAGCGACAGAAGAAGCACCGGCUAACUCCGUGCCAGCAGCCGCGGUA